rnacentral:rRNA from 1 species
GAUGAACGCUGGCGGCGUGCCUAAUACAUGCAAGUCGAGCGAACAGACGAGGAGCUUGCUCCUCUGACGUUAGCGGCGGACGGGUGAGUAACACGUGGAUAACCUACCUAUAAGACUGGGAUAACUUCGGGAAACCGGAGCUAAUACCGGAUAAUAUAUUGAACCGCAUGGUUCAAUAGUGAAAGACGGUUUUGCUGUCACUUAUAGAUGGAUCCGCGCCGCAUUAGCUAGUUGGUAAGGUAACGGCUUACCAAGGCGACGAUGCGUAGCCGACCUGAGAGGGUGGUCGGCCACACUGGAGCUGAGACACGGUCCAGACUCCUACGGGAGGCAGCAGUAGGGAAUCUUCCGCAAUGGGCGAAAGCCUGACGGAGCAACGCCGCGUGAGUGAUGAAGGUCUUCGGAUCGUAAAACUCUGUUAUUAGGGAAGAACAAAUGUGUAAGUAACUAUGCACGUCUUGACGGUACCUAAUCAGAAAGCCACGGCUAACUACGUG